rnacentral:rRNA from 1 species
UACAGAGGUCUCAAGCGUUGUUCGGAUUCAUUGGGCGUAAAGGGUGCGUAGGCGGCAGUGUAAGUCUGGUGUGAAAUCUCGGGGCUCAACCCCGAAACUGCAUUGGAUACUGCAUUGCUAGAGGACUGUAGAGGAGAUUGGAAUUCACGGUGUAGCAGUGAAAUGCGUAGAUAUCGUGAGGAAGACCAGUGGCGAAGGCGAAUCUCUGGGCAGUUCCUGACGCUGAGGCACGAAGGCCAGGGGAGCAAACGGG